rnacentral:rRNA from 1 species
ACAGGUGCUGCAUGGCUGUCGUCAGCUCGUGUCGUGAGAUGUUGGGUUAAGUCCCGUAACCGAGCGCAACCCUUGUCCUUAGUUACCAGCACGUUAAGGUGGGCACUCUAAGGAGACUGCCGGUGACAAACCGGAGGAAGGUGGGGAUGACGUCAAGUCAUCCAUGGCCCUUACGGGCCUGGGCUACACACGUGCUACAAUGGUCGGUACAAAGGGUUGCCAAGCCGCGAGGUGGAGCUAAUCCCAUAAACCGAUCGUAGUCCGGAUCGCAGUCUGCAACUCGACUGCGUGAAGUCGGAAUCGCUAGUAAUCGUGAAUCAGAAUGUCCACGGUGAAUACGUUCCCGGGCCUU